AUACGUAGGUGGCAAGCGUUGUCCGGAAUUAUUGGGCGUAAAGCGCGCGCAGGUGGUUCCUUAAGUCUGAUGUGAAAGCCCCCGGCUCAACCGGGGAGGGUCAUUGGAAACUGGGGAACUUGAGUGCAGAAGAGGAUAGUGGAAUUCCAAGUGUAGCGGUGAAAUGCGUAGAGAUUUGGAGGAACACCAGUGGCGAAGGCGACUGUCUGGUUUGUAACUGACACUGAGGCGCGAAAGCGUGGGGAGCAAACAGGAUUAGAUACCCUGGUAGUCCACGCCGUAAACGAUGAGUGCUAAGUGUUGGGGGGUUUCCGCCCCUCAGUGCUGCAGCUAACGCAUUAAGCACUCCGCCUGGGGAGUACGGUCGCAAGACUGAAACUCAAAGGAAUUGACGGGG
rnacentral:rRNA from 1 species